GUCACAUGUGGAGCCCAGCAGUGACUUUGAAUUUCCAGUCCCAGAGCCAUCCUUCAGACUCGAUGUAGAGAACAGAAGAUCAAAGGCCGCAAAGAGAUGACUUUUCAUCUUGGUAAUGUGGGCGACGACCGAAUACGUUCACCACACAGGAUGGCACCCACAAGCACAGAACAUGUGGAAUUGAAAAUCCCAUUAAAAAUAGGCCAGCUGAUAAGGGAGAUGAGCACAUAGUGCUCCGAGUGAUUUCCCAAUUUCACACCUCAACAUUUUUCCUCCAUUCAGGGCUCGGAUUGGGCUUCAGUUUGAAAGUGAGGAGAGCUGCACACGCAACACAACAACAACAAAAAAAAAUCCUAUUUGGUCAGAAAACAAACAGUGUGCGCUGGAACUCUGCAGACGACUGAAAAAACAUCACACCACAGUGAAACACGGCCAAGUCCAGCCAUCCUACCUGCCCGCUGCUGUUUCAGAUCUAUGAUCCGCAAAGUGGGAGGGGAUUGCAGCUGGUUAGUCACUCCAUCAUCAUUGUCCCAAACACAUAAUCAUAGCCAAGGCAUGGCACUGUAACCAUCAAUUGCUCGUUGCUGUGCUGUGGGUGAUGCUGCCUGCUGUUUGGCUUGUGUUUUUUUAUAGAUGAGCUGUGUGCUGUGUUUUCUGGUUUUGGAAUGAUUCAUUUAAUUCAUUGAUUCCAGGAUGUCUGUGAUAAAUGUGUUUUCUUACCCUGAAAAUCUGUGUCCAAUUUUCUCCCACCUCUUCAUGCAGAACUGUAGAUUACAUUCAAGUAUUCAACAUGUUGGAUGUCAUCACACACCAGCUACAUUG